AAGAGCCGGAUGAGGGAAGACUUUCAAGUCCGGUUCCAUGAGAAGUUGAGGGCGAAAUUUCCUUUGGCUACUCGAC
rnacentral:ncRNA from 2 species